GACGUAGGAUGCAAGCGUUGUCCGGAAUUAUUGGGCGUAAAGAGUUCGUAGGCGGUUGCCUAAGUCUGAUGUUAAAUACUGGAGCUUAACUCCAGCAUGGCAUUGGAAACUGGGCAGCUAGAGUGCGGUAGAGGUCUCGGGAAUUCCAGGUGUAGCGGUGAAAUGCGUAGAUAUCUGGAGGAACACCGGUGGCGAAAGCGCGAGACUGGGCCGUAACUGACGCUGAGGAACGAAAGCCAGGGGAGCGAACAGGAUAGAA
rnacentral:rRNA from 1 species